AUAUACUGUGGGUAUGAAAAUAAAAUCAAUCUAUACAUACAAAAACCUAUUUAUAAAUGUUUAUAGUGACUUUCUAAACAUCAAAAACAACUCAAGUACCCCUUAGCCAGGGAUGGAUAAACAAACUAUGGGCCAUCCACACAGUGGAAUAUUACACAGCAAUAAAAAAGAAUGAACUGUUGACACAUGUGAGAUUGGGGAUGAAUUUCAAAUGCACCAAGCUGAGUGAAAGAAGCCAGAUCCAAAAGCCUACAUACUAUUGGAGCAUAUGCUAUGGAAUACAGUAUGGAGGCUCUUCAAAAAACUAAAAAUAGAAAUGCCAUAUGACCCAGCAAUCCCGCUCCUGGGUAUAUAUCCAGAUGAAACUAUAAUUCAAAAAGAUACAUGGACCCCUACAUUCAUAGCAGCACUAUUCACAAUACCCAAGGCAGAGAAACAACCUAAAUGUCCAUCGACAGAGGAAUCAAUAAAGAAGAUGUGGUACAUAUAUACAAUGGAAUACUACUCAGACAUAAAAAAGAAUGACAUAAUGCUAUUUGCAGCAACAUGGAUGCAUCUAGAGAUUAUCACACUAAGUGAAGUGAGUUAGAAAAAUACAAAUACCAUAUAAUAUCAUGUAUACAUGGGAUCUAAAAUAUGACACAAAUGAACCUAUCUACAAAACAGAAACAGACUCAGAGACAUUAAGAACAGACUUAUGGAGAGUUCCUAUCAUGGCUCAGUGGUAACAAACCAGACUAGUAUCCAUUAAGACAUGGUUCAAUCCCUUGCCUUGCUCAGUGGGUAAAGGAUCUGGCAUUGCUGUGAGCUGUGGUGUAGGUCACAGAUGUGUCUCAGAUUCCACAUUGAUGUGGCUGUGGUGUAGGUUAGCAGCUGUGGCUCCGAUUGGACCCCUAGCCUAGGAACUUACAUAUGUCAUGGGUGUGGCCCUAAAAAAAAAAAACAGACAACGGGGGAGGGAGCUGGGGAGGGAGGGAUGGAUUGGAACUUUGGGAUUAGCAGAUGCAAACCUAUUAUAUGUAGGAUGGAUAAAUAACUAGGUCCUACUAUAUAAUAUAGGAAACUAUGUUUAAUAUUCUGUGAUAAACCAUAAUGGAAGAGAAUAUGAAAAGAAUGUGUGUGAAUACACAUACACUCAUAUAUAUCUAUGUAUAUAUAGAUGAACAGAUAUAUCUGAAUCACUUUGCUGUACAGCAGAAAUUAGCACAACACUGUAGAUCAACUAUACUUCAAUAAAAUAAAUUUUUAAAAAGAGAGAAAGAAAAGGCCAGACAAACCUUUAAAAAAAAGGCUACAUAUUCUUUGCACUUAUCUGUACAACAUUCUGGAAAGCAGAUUAGAGGAUGUAGGAGCAGGAGAGUGUGAGUGGGCUUGACCACAAAGUGCAUGGGGAUAUUUGGGUCGAUGGAAUUGUUCUAUGUUCUGGUUGCAUUGGAUAAAUUUAUCCAAGCUCUGAGAAGAGGGUACUUUUUAAGGAUGAAAUGUACUGUAUGUAGAUAAACCUAUCUACGGAACAGCGGCAGACUCACAGACAUGGAGAACAGACUUGUGGUUACCUAGGGGGAAGGGGGAUGGAGGGGGAGUUUGGGUAGGUAGAUGCAAACUAUUACAUUUAGAAUGGAUAAGCAAUGAGGCCCUGUUACAUAGCACAGGGAACUGUAUCCAAUCUCAGGAUAAAUCUUGAUGGGGGAUAGUAAUGAGAAAAACAAUGUAUGUAUGACCAGGUCACUUUGCUCUACAGCAGAAAUUGACACAACAUUGUACCUCAAGUAUAAUAAAAAAUUUUUGUAACUUACUGUAUAUAAAACACACCUGAAUUUUAAAAUUCCUUUAAAGAGAUAAAAAGUAGCCUGUAGCUAUGCUCCUGGGAAGCACUGGGGCAAAAAUAGAUCAUAGCCAGACUGCCUGGCUAUAAAACUUGGCCUUGCCACUUAUUAUAUUGAGCUUCUUGAAUCUCAUUUGCCCCAUUUUGAAAUGGGCUAAUUAGGGUAUCUAUCUUGUGGGAUUGCUGUAACCCAGAAAUUCAUGUAUUUAAAAUGCUUAGAAAGUUAGCUUCUUCUUACUACAUCUCCGCACAGUUGUACAGUGUAUCCUAAGGAUAAAUUCCUAAAAUUGAAAAUUCUGAGUCAAAGUUUCACAGUGCAUAUAUACCAACAAAACACCUUCCAAAAAUAUGUGCCCACGCUCAAAUGAAGCCUAUGAGUUUUUGGUCCUUUCUCUCUAUCCAGCCCUGCCUCGUACUAAACUUUUCACUCUUUCAAAUUAGAAAGGUUAAAAAUGGUAUCUCAUUGUUUCUUCCACUUGUAAAUCUUUGAUGACUAAUGCAGCUGAACAUCUUUUCACAUAUAUCUUGGUCAAAGCUACUCACUUCUAUGUGAACUGCCUGGUUAUUAUCUUUUUAUGGCUAUUUAGAGUUUUAGGAUUAAAUUAUGUGAGUCAGUCAUAAAUUAGGGCUAAUCAUAAUAGUUAACAUUUAUGUUUCCAUAGGAGCCAUAUCUUCCUGAAAGCACUGAAAAAUAUUCCCAUUUAUCAGGGGUCUGCAUUGUCUACACCUUCCCCUGUUCCUUCCACUUCUCUUUUGAACAUGCUCCAGUAUUUUUAAAAAGAAGUUUAAAUUUUACAAUUCUUUUGUAAGUCCUACCCUUUGGGGAUCAUGUUUAAGGGAGCCUUCCCUUUGGAGUCAUCCUAAUAUUUUCAGACAAUUAUUAGUUUUAUGCUCCCAUGUUUCCUUAUUUAUUUGGAAGCUCUUAAUAGCAAUUCACAUGGUCCAGAAUUAUUCUGAAAUGGUAAAUGUGUUUUAACUCCAAAAAAAUUUUUAAAGUUUUGCUGUAUUUUAUUUAAUUUUUUGUUUCAUCUAUCUAUCUACUGUCUAUUUUUGGCUGCACCCACAUUAAGUGGAAGUUCCCCAGCCAGGGAUCCAACCCACGCCACAGCAGCGACCUGAGCCACCGUAGUGACAACGCCAGCUCCUUAACUUACUGUACCAUGAAGAAACUCUCAAACUCUAAUUUUUUUUUUUUUUAAUAGCCACACCUCCACCUUCCAUAGGAAGUACCCAAGCUAAGGGUGGAAUUGCAGCUGCAACUGCAAGCCUACACCACAGCCACAGCAACAUCAGAUCUUAAACCCACUGAGUCAAGCCAGGGAUCAAACCCACAUCCUCAUGGAGGCUACACUUGGUUCUUAACCUGAUGAGCCACAAUGGGAACUCCUCAAGCUCCAAAUUUUUCAAGGAGGUGUUUGAUGGCAUUUCCAGCAACAGACUUCAGCACUAGUGUAUUUAUAAGAUGAGAGAGGGGAGUAGGCCUGAGGAAAAAAAAGGAAGCAGGUAAGAAGCUCACAGCUGAAGGUCACAGCUUAUGAAAUGCAGGUACUUGGGCGGCCAUGGCAUCUCCCCCAGAACAGGAUUUUGGGGGUUCUUUCAUCUAAUACUGUCAUCGCUCUUCCUGGUGUCUGCCCCUCCCAUCUGCCCCCCUCCAAGGAAAUUUCCACUCUCUCCUUUUCUGCCCCCUGCACACCUAGGUCCAGACUUCAAAUCCACUCUCAAAACAAGGCUGAUGUUUUCACACUGAACUUCUUCCAACUAAAAUUUUCUUCAGAGAUGAAUGAAAUCAGACCCUAUGGUCCAAGUCCCACUUUAAAGACUUGGCUCUUCACUUCCUCCUUGUUUAAAAACAACGAUUUCAGAGAAAUAAAAUCCGAAACGGAGGUGUAAUGCAUCUCCUAUGACCUCACAUUUUUUAAGCGUUCUUUUUUCUUGCCAACUCAUCCUGCGUUCAUGCUAAUGUCCGUUUGUGCUUCCUUAAAAGCUCCCAGUUCCGUCAAAAGCCAGAAAGAAAAUAAACUAUGUUUCUCGGGCCAUGUGAGGUGGUAACAAAGGACCCCAGCGUUUAGAGGACAGUUCAUGAUUAAAGGGAAAGAACCAACUGUAGUCACCAAAUGUUUCUUCAAGUAAAAAGGAAAAAAAAAAAA
rnacentral:lncRNA from 1 species